ensembl:ncRNA Y73F8A.1167 ncRNA
GUAGUUAGAAGAAUUAUAAGAGCGCCCGACAUUUACCGGGUUCCACCUUCACCAUUUUUUAAAAGAAAAUAUCGGAACCCGGUAGAUGUCGGGCGCGGAACAAAGUUUAACUUCCU